AUGAACGCUGGCGGCGUGCCUAAUACCUGCAAGUCGAGCGAACAGACGAGGAGCUUUCUCCUCUGACGUUAGCGGCGGACGGGUGAGUAACACGUGGAUAACCUACCUAUAAGACUGGGAUAACUUCGGGAAACCGGAGCUAAUACCGGAUAAUAUAUUAAACCGCAUGGUUCAAUAGUGAAAGACGGUUUUGCUUUCACUUAUAAAUGGAUCCGCGCCGCAUUAGCUAGUUGGUAAGGUAACGGCUUACCAAGGCAACGAUGCGUAGCCGACCUGAGAGGGUGAUCGGCCACACUGGAACUGAGACACGGUCCAGACUCCUACGGGAGGCAGCAGUAGGGAAUCUUCCGCAAUGGGCGAAAGCCUGACGGAGCAACGCCGCGUGAGUGAUGAAGGUCUUCGGAUCGUAAAACUCUGUUAUUAGGGAAGAACAAAUGUGUAAGUAACUAUGCACGUCUUGACGGUACCUAAUCAGAAAGCCACGGCUAACUACGUG
rnacentral:rRNA from 1 species